rnacentral:lncRNA from 1 species
GGCGAGGGUCAUUUGCUGUAGGAGCUCGGUCAGAGGCUUUCCGUAGAUGAAGUUUGAUUUCACACAGAAUUCGGUAGAGGGUCGACCGGCAGUGGAUGUCGGACGGCACUGGAGAGGUUCAUCCGCUGGAGCGGUCUGGCUGCUGGAGUCCAUGUGUCGUAGGAGUUCGUCCGAAAUCUGUCCGUUACAGAAGUUCGGUUGGAGUCCGAUCUCCGUAGAAGCCCAGAUGGGGAUCAUUUAUUGAGGAAGCUCGAUCGAAGUCUACAGUAGAAGCUCGGAGUAGAUCGCUUGCAGUAGAAGAUCGAAGUAGAUCGCUUGCAGUAGAAGCUCGAAGUCCGGCCCUUGUAGGAGUUCGGAUGAGGUUUAACUGCAACAGGAGUUCAGGGCGGAAGUUCGGCUCUCGUAGGAGCCCGGACGAAGGCUACCUGCAGCCAGAGUCCGGGGAAGAAGUUCGGCUCCCGUAGGAGCUCGGACGAUGUCUACCUGUUCGGGGAAGAAGUUCGGCUUCUGUAGGAGCCCGGAUGAAGUCUACCUGCAGUCGAAGUUCGGGGAAGAAGUCCGGCUCCCGUAGGAGCCCGGAUGAAGUCUACCUG